rnacentral:rRNA from 1 species
UACAGGGGGGGCAAGCGUUGUUCGGAAUUACUGGGCGUAAAGGGCUCGUAGGCGGCCAACUAAGUCGGAUGUGAAAUCCCCAGGCUUAACCUGGGAAACUGCAUCCGAUACUGGAUGGCUUGAAUCCGGGAGAGGGAUGCAGAAUUCCCGGUGUAGAGGUGAAAUUCGUAGAUAUCGGGAGGAACACCAGUGGCGAAGGCGGCGUCCUGGACGUCCACUGACGCUGAGACGCGAAAGCGUGGGGAGCAAACAGG